GCGGCAGGCUUACACAUGCAAGUCGAGCGGGGGAAGGUAGCUUGCUACCGGACCUAGCGGCGGACGGGUGAGUAAUGCUUAGGAAUCUGCCUAUUAGUGGGGGACAACAUCUCGAAAGGGAUGCUAAUACCGCAUACGUCCUACGGGAGGAAAGCAGGGGAUCUUCGGACCUUGCGCUAAUAGAUGAGCCUAAGUCGGAUUAGCUAGUUGGUGGGGUAAAGGCCUACCAAGGCGACGAUCUGUAGCGGGUCUGAGAGGAUGAUCCGCCACACUGGGACUGAGACACGGCCAGACUCCUACGGGA
rnacentral:rRNA from 1 species